rnacentral:sRNA from 1 species
UGCAAUAGAGAAUCGUAAAGGAUGAGAACCGUAAAGGUUCGAGUAUCGCAAAGCGAGACAACAUCACUCCGGUGAUGGCCCGCAAGGGCGAGUUAUCCUGCACGACCCAGCA